CCCUGCCCCACUGGCCAGGGCGCCUCACAAUGGCCCCUGCGUUCUGCACAGAUGUUCCUGAGGCUAGGGUUCCACUCCUCCUCCCCCCACUCCGCCUGCUCAUUACCUAGUUUUCAAAAGGAAACUUCUAGAACUUCUUAAGAGCCUCUGAGCUCCAUUACUUUGAAAUCUAAGGUUCCCGCUGUCUGUCUUCCAAAGGACACUUUUUCCCCUAUCCUUAAAAAAGGCACAUACUUGUUGUUGAAGAAAAUUAAAACCACCACCUCUUCAAUUUUUCCUAAGCCCCUUCUUCCUGUCUCCUGGAGAACCUGAGUCUCUUUUACUGAACCUUUAGGGGACAGCCUGAGAAAUUCUCUUAUUGAGCCCACACAAACUGGAUUCCCUCGAGCUCACUUCAUUUUUUCCAGAAAUGAUACAGAGAUAGCGGUGAGCACCCUUCAAGCACCAUCAGGACGAAACUGAAACGUGGAUGGAUGAUGCCGGUCGCCAGUCCUCCCAGUUCCGUGUCACCCCAGCCCACGGGAGCCCACAGUCCAGCCAGGGUGUGGCCAGAGCUCAGGCUGACUCACAGCCCCGCCGCCCUCCGCUGACUCCUGAUGCCCAGCUGUGUCCCCAGGCUGCUGAGGGCAGGAUCCGGGCUGGGGAUCCCACCCUUCCCUGGACCCAGAUCCUAGGGACAGAGCAGGUGUCUGUCUCAGCUUGGGGAGUAGUAGGAGCCCACUGGGAGCAAGGAGGGCUCUCUGCUCCUGGGUUACUCGGGGAACCAGGAAUUCCCACUAUCCCUGGGGUAUCCAGAGCAGGAAACGGGUGAUGAGGGGCCGUGGAGCCAGGUCACAUAGGGCCAGGCUGGAGGGUCUCUGGGGAGCAAGGGUGCUAGGGAAGGGCUUCCAGGGGCUGCUUCGUGGGCCCCAGGGAGCAUCCAGGACUGUAAGAGGGAGAAGUUGACAGCAUGAAGGUUCCCCGGAGCCCUGACAGCAUCUCCCUGCCCAUGCAGUGCUCAACCAGUCCCACGUCCCCAGAGAGGACAGGUCAGCUGCUCCCCCAAGAGCACUCAGCCACCACGUCCCUCUCCCACAGCACCAGCAGGAAGGACCCGUGGACAGUCUCUCUGCUCUGCUUCUCUGGGGCUGGACUGCGUGACUGCCGACCUCCAUGGGAGCUGCAGGCCUGUGAGAAGGAAACGUACACUGUCCCCUCCCACGUGGCAGGAGGGCCCACCCCAUGGCCUGUCACUCAAGACCACAUGAGGCACCUUUGUGCCCGCCCUCCUUAGAAGCUGCCCCAUGUGCCCGGGGUCCCAUUCCACGCAUGUCAGGGCAGCACCCAAAGGUGGCCUCUUCUAGAAGGGUCCCAACUCCACUCCAUCAGGGAAAGCCCGGACGCUGCCCCUCCAAGAGGCAGACCCAGACCUGGGUCUAAGGGGAGCAACCCUUAGAGCCAUCUGGUUCAAUCUUUCCCCCAUUUUUCAGAGGGGAAGCUGAGGCCCAAAAAGGAGAGUGGUUUCUUAGGGAGCAACUGCAAUCUGGGGACAGGAGGUCUCUUUUUCUCUCCUCCUCUCCCUGCUCUGCCACUUUCCUCCCAGCUUUCUUCCUGCAGUCUGUGUCUGGGACUUGCCUAACGUGACACAGGGAACCAUACUGCAUUGUGAUCAGAAGGCCUUGGGAGUCCGGCAGACCUGGUUCAAAUCCCAGCCCCACCACCUCCUGGCUAUACCUUCCGACGGGGGUCUCUGAACCUCUCAGCACCUCAGCCUCUCCCUGGAAAUGGGGUGAAUCCAAGAGCCUGCUUGAUAGGAGUCAGGGGAGGGUUACGCGAAGGAAUGUGGAGAAAAGCAUGAGCCCGACCUGCCCUCGUGGACAGCGCGGGGGCAAGGGGAGAGACACAGAGACCAUCAGAACAGAGCCAGAACCAGGCCUCCUGACCCCUCUUCCUCAGUUACCAUGAUGAUGAAGCAAGGAUGGAAGAGCCACUAUGGGCUGGGCUCAUCUCAGGUUGUGUUUAAAGGACAAGGGAAUGUGAUUGUGAGGAUGUCUGGACUCUGAGUAUUCUGGCCAAAAAAGCAAAGCACUGUGGGCUCAAUGCUUACCAGUCAGAAGUUUCUGUAAGAUCAGCUUCCGGAGAGGCUUGAAGCAGCAUCUGGAGCUCUGUGCCGCAUGGCCAGGCUUUGGCUAGGAGUGAAUCCUUUUCUGCCCUGAGUGUGGGGACAGUCCUCCAGUAGCCACUCGGCUCUGGCGAAGCCUGACCCAAGGACAGCCAGCCCGUCCCCUGUGGCCACGUCCUGGGGGACCAGCGGGAUGAAGAACUAAAGAGGCUUUCUCAGGAAUGAUCAGUUCUGUGCAUUUCCGAGCGCUGGGAGGCGAUGCCUCCAUCUGCACCAGGCUGAUGAAGAAAUCAAGUCUCUGAGAAGUUCAGAAAUAAGUCUGUGGCCACCCAGCAAUCCCUGAAUUUCCUGAUUCUACUGGUUCCAGGAGUUUCAGGACGCGUUAUCAGAGAUGAUGAAAACUCCAUCAGCAUGGAUACGGCACCCUCAGGAUCAAAGCUGUCUAAACUUGUGGGCUGGUCUCACUAGCUUCUUGCAUCCCGGAGCUAAUGUUUUUAAGCAGAGAGCCAACUUAAAGCAAGAAAAGCAUCACAUCAAAGUCAAGGCUGAGAAGUUCACAGGAGCAGAAAGGAGGCCCGGGAGAAGGAGGCAAAAAAAGUAAGAUGAAGGGAUCCAUCUUCUUCCUCCUUCUGCUACCACCCCCUGCCUCGAUUCCCAGAAACACUAUAGCAGAGCCUGCCUAAUACCUCUCAAUAUAUGUUCAUCUUCUUUGAUAACAGAACAUGAAAUGUCAGGGGUUACUGGGCUUCAAAUAAUAAAAGACUACAUUUCCCAGCUUUCCCUAGGCAAGGUAAGGUCAUGUGACCAUGUUCUGCCAAUUGCCUAUGAGAAGAAGUCAAGGGCGUUCACACCAGCCCUGUGUGCACAUGAAACUUCCAGGUUGUACCCUUGAAGGGAAGGGCCCUCUAUGACCUGUCCUUCUGCUCCUCUUCUUGCUGAAAUGUGGACGUGGAGGUGAUGCAUAUCUGAUCAACUGAUGGGAUUAACAGUUUUGAAGGGCAAAGCAGCAAAAUUGAAAGUGCUUGGUCUCGGCAGAGUGGAGCCAUCACAGGAGCCCCUGAUAGGUUCCACCAGCAAUUUACUAAGAAAGAAUACACUUCUGUCUUAAUUAUUGAUGCACUGAGCUUUAUUAACCGGAUCAUAACAUGUUGAUCACAGCGCUGAGCAGCAUUGUACAGUGGCUGAGCUCUCCCAGGAAAAGCUAUGCCAGGGUCCCAGGUACCAGUGUCCUCUUCCUGCAACAUAAACUACCCCAAAAUAUCGUCAUUAAAACAACAAUCUUUGAUUUAAUUCACAUUGCCGAGGGUCAGCGAUUCCGGCUAGGCUCAGCAGGGCCGUCGUCUCCUUCUGUGGGUUGGCCAGGGUCUGGCCGGCUUCAAGAGAGGACAGGGGGCCGCCACCGUUCCUCAUCCUCAGCGGAUUAGCCUAGGCUCACUCUCAGCGUGGAGACGGGGUUCUGACCACCGGAACAGGCCCGAGGGCGCGUGGUCACGGACAUUACGGUUUCCGCGGCAUCCUCUUGGCUCCACCUCCUCCCAGUGGGUGGCUCCCACGCCCUCAGGGCCGCCUCCUUGCGGUCCUCCCGUGCCCUUAAUGCUACUGUCCUGACUUCUCCAGUGUUCUGUCUUUCCUGCUUGACUCUGAGCUCCAUGAAGACAGAAUCACUGUUUCCUUUAUCACGGUCUCACCAGCGCCUCACCCAGAGCCAGACUUAAAAUGGGGCUCAGUAUAGGUUUGCAAGCGAAUAAAUGAAUGAAUGCAUGAAUGAAUGAACGCAUGAUGAAUGAAUGAACGAACCCAUGAAUGAAUGCCUCCCACACUGUGGACACAGACAAUGGGCUGGGUGGGCCGAUGCUCAGGAACUUCCCUUCAUGCAUUGGUCCUUCCCUCUCCUGCAAAGGUCUGGGGGGGUCCUCUGCCUGAGCUGGAGCUCCAGCCGCGUCCUGUCUCUGUGCCCUUGGGCAAGGACCUCCACCCGCUCUGUGCCUUGGUACUUCAUCUGUAAUAUGCGGCUCUCAUGAGGAGUGGGGGGAAGUAACUUGGAUGAAACACGUGACACCCAGCCUGGGACAAAGGGAGCACCAAUCAUGUUAGUUAUCAUUAGCAUUAAGAAGGACUCGGAGCCUGGGCGUGUCCUCUUCCAGUCAGGAGUCUCCCGGGACUGACGUGAAAUAUUCACCCCAAAGGAAUUUGGGUCUCCUUUGGAGAUGCCCCUCCCACACACCCCAAAGAUUUCCCACCCUCAGCCAUUCACAACUGCCUCAGAUUUGGACUCUGCCAUCCACAGAGCAGGGGAAGGAAGGAGAAUUUAUUGUACCACCAAUGGGAUGACAGUUAUGAACGGCAGGAUCUCCCGCCACCACCCGUCACAGCCAUGGGGCGAACACUGGGGCGGCGGCUCAGGGACAGAGUCGUCCUCCCUGCAGGGCCCGCUCUGCCCUCAGCCCCAGCCUAGUGGAGUCAUCAAAUAAAUCCAACAUUUAGAAAAGGGGGGUGGGAUGGGGGACUUCAGCAGACAGUUCCCUGAAAUGUAAUGGUAAUAAAAGAG